UGGGGAAUAUUGCACAAUGGGGGAAACCCUGAUGCAGCGACGCCGCGUGAGUGAAGAAAGUAAUUCGUUAUGUAAAGCUCUAUCAGCAGGGAAGAAAAUGACGGUACCUGAGUAAGAAGCCCCGGCUAACUACGUGCC
rnacentral:rRNA from 1 species